rnacentral:lncRNA from 1 species
GCAGAGUGAAUGCACAAGGCAUGUGAAGAUACAGUGAGGGAACUCGUUUUGCUGGUAUCAAGGGGUUAUUUUGGAGAAGUAUCUGUCCAGUUCCAGUUCUGUUUCCUAGAACCUACUGGGUUGUACAUAUAACAACAAGGAUCAUUUUUAAAAGUGUUACUUCCGCAGACGCGGCUCGGAUCCCGCGUUGCGGUGGCUCGGUGUAGGCUGGGGGUUACAGCUCCGAUUAGACCCCUAGCCUGGGAACCUCCAUAUGCUGUGGGGGCAGCCUAAGAAAUAGCAAAAAGACAAAAAAAAAAAAAAGUUGUUACUUCCCCCUGCUUCUCUCUUUUCCCUUCUCCCCAUCAUGGAUGGCUCUGUGCUACAGUCCAGAAUUAUAAACUCCCCACUGGACAGUCUUCCUGCAGAUACCCCAAACUUUAUAUUUAUAGCAUUAUACUCAUUAUCUCUCCUUCUCCAAGCUUGCUUCUCUUCCUGUUUUUCUUAUUUCAUGUGGGAAUAUGACAUCAUCCCUGAAUCGUUCCUCUGCCCCCCAUCUCCAGUCAGUCACUGAGUGCUUUCUACUCUCUCUCCAAGUCCCUCUCAGUUCUUCUCCACCUUUCCAGUCUCACCGCCAUGAUCAUUUCAUAACAGCCUCCCUGCUUUCUGUUUCUCUUUUAUGUGUUUCAUCUUCCAGGAAGUAGCCAAGUUAUUUUUGUAAAGCAUAGAUUUGGUGGCAUGGCUCUCAAGGGCUGCUGGGAUGAUUGAACCCUGGCCCUGACCUGUCCUUCUGGCAGCACUGUCUGUGUUCCUUCCACACCACUUGCUGGUCCCUGGACACACCACCCACUGACACAUCACCAAGCCAUCGCUCCUGCUAGCUGCGCAUGCUCUAACUCCUCAGACAUCUCAUCCACCUUUUCCGCAUGAGUGAACUCAGUCUUCAAGCCCAGCUUAGAGGUCAUCUCUUCUGAUAACCCCAACCUUGCUGUCAGCCACAGAGCUCCUUGGCAUUUUGUUCAGAGCUCCAUUAGAAGGUUUUACUGGACCAUAUUUAGUGUAUAUGAUAUGACCCAUGUCCCUAUGAGAGUAUGAAUUAACAUGGUGAGCAGUGAAUGCACUGUGCCAAGCCAGGACUGUGCCAAGCGAUUUAUAUGCAAUAACCCUCAACAGCCCUGUGGGUGGGUGACAUCACUACCAUACUAUUUCUGAGCACAGGGUGGUCACGUCUCUCCAGUAAGAUCCCACAGCCAGGAAAUGGUAGAACCAGGAUUCAAACUGGGAAGUCCGCAUUCUCAAGCCCUACCUUAGACCACAUCCAUGAGGAUUCAAGGGCUUGUCUCAUUCACCUUCAUAUUUCCAGUGUCCAAUAUUGCUAUACAAUAAAUGUGUUUUAAAUACUAUAAUAGAAGAAAAAUGAUUAGGAAGCAGGAAUACUUAGUCAUUAAAAAACUGAUAGAUCACAAUGAAGGUAUUAUGCCGGUUCCUCCAUGCAAGGGUUAAAAAUGAGCUCUCUUGAACUUGUACCAUCAUUUUUAAGAAGAAAGAAUGAUGAUGCCAUAUAGUGGGAGGAUGUUACUCCACAAGUAGAUGCAGACUCCUGAGGGGUUCUUGAUCAGGAUUGGGAUGGCUCUCGGUGUGGCUGUGUUCCUCAGAAUGACCCAGAAGUCUGUGUUCUCAAAUGGCAGGUUGACUUUCAGAAAAAAAGUGUCUAUUCCUUGAAGACUGGAAUUCUGUCAGCAAAUAUGCCAACAAAAGAGUUAAAAGUAUUAUGUCAAGGCAAGCAUUUAAUUGAGUCCAAUGUUUCUUCUUAAGCCUCUGUGUAUAACGAAAUGCAGUCAGACUCUGAAACACCUGCAUGGCUUUUUCUGGUUCUGGUUAAUGUAUUGAAAAAUCAGGCACAGUCAUACCUCUAAGCAUAGAUGAAAUGUGCACUUAAUGAUGAGACAAGCAGUAAAGCUCCCUGGUAUGUACCAAUUAUUUGUUUGCAGAUGGGAAUGUUAACAUUUGUAGCAGCAAUGGAAUGGC